AUUGAACGCUGGCGGCAGGCCUAACACAUGCAAGUCGAGCGGCAGCGGGAAAGUAGCUUGCUACUUUUGCCGGCGAGCGGCGGACGGGUGAGUAAUGCCUGGGAAAUUGCCCAGUCGAGGGGGAUAACAGUUGGAAACGACUGCUAAUACCGCAUACGCCCUACGGGGGAAAGCAGGGGACCUUCGGGCCUUGCGCGAUUGGAUAUGCCCAGGUGGGAUUAGCUAGUUGGUGAGGUAAUGGCUCACCAAGGCGACGAUCCCUAGCUGGUCUGAGAGGAUGAGCAGCCACACUGGAACUGAGACACGGUCCAGACUCCUACGGGAGGCAGCAGUGGGGAAUAUUGCACAAUGGGGGAAACCCUGAUGCAGCCAUGCCGCGUGUGUGAAGAAGGCCUUCGGGUUGUAAAGCACUUUCAGCGAGGAGGAAAGGUCAGUAGCUAAUAACUGCCAGCUGUGACGUUACUCGCAGAAGAAGCACCGGCUAACUCCGUGCCAGCCGCCGCAGUAAGAC
rnacentral:rRNA from 1 species